AAAUUUUGUGAAACGGAGCGUUUUACCAAUUUCUAUAAGCGCAGCAGCGUCUUCGAAGUUUCAAACGCAGCGUUUUGCAGUUUUUUUUUCUGAUACGCACGAAAGAAACCGUAUGUAUAGUGUUGUAACGGUGGUGGUGGUGACUUCGCUGCUAGUUUCCAAGGUUUGGUAUCCACUUCGGCGAUGGCGCACGGCGGAUAUGCCUAGCGGAGGGUUACGGAGCGUAACACGACGGCAGGAACUAGUCGGAGAUCAAAGGGACUUCUGUGUUGAGAAGAAAACCGAAGAAUUCGUCUCUCAAAAACCAAAUUCGUUCAAUCGGCCGCAUGAUUCGUAAAGAUCUUCCACCUGAAGAAAGAGAGGCUCUAGAAAAGAAGUUGGAUGAUCUGAAGAAGCAACAAGAUAUACAUAGCUGUCUUGCUGUUGAACGUUUAAUCUUUCUAAGAAACAGAAAGAUCAGAUUCUUUGGUGUGAGAUUAUAGCAUGUUAUCUUUCUAUGCAUUGGAUUGUUUGAGUUGUUUGUUUUCCCCCCCUGAGUGAUUUGGCUUCAUCUGACAUCAAAGAUGAAAUCUAUCUUUGAGUAGAGAGAAGAAAGAUUGAAAGGAGCAUAAGACGUCUUGAGAAGUUACAACGGAAUGGUCAUGUGCAAGAUGCAGAGAUUGGUGGGCAACUCCAUAAACUCAAAGAAGACCUUGAAUAUGUUAAGUUUAAAAGCUACUGACAUCUUGUUGCUGUGUGCAAUUCAUUUCUUCCCCAAGAAUGAAAAGUAUGUACCUCUCUAUUUAGUGGAGGUGAUGAUUUGCAAGUAUCUGACCGGAGAAGUACAUUGCGGAAGCAAACUAAAGCCAAUAUAAUUGUUGCUGCUGCCACUGGGAAAGAGUUGGAAGUUGAAAACAGAGACAGGGAGCGAAGAUGAUGCGCUAUUGAACCUGAGUGAUGAUGACUUCUUUGUCAACGGAAGUUCAAGUGACGAAGCAGAUGCGGACGAUGAGUGGACUGAUAAAAGCACCCAAGGAGCCCGGUUUCUAGUGCUUUUCCAGUGAUGAAAGAAAUCAGCCGUACACAACUAGGGUUUUAGGUUUGCAUCAACUUCUCGUAUGUAUUCAUCUGUGGAGAGGAACGAGAUACCUUCCUCUAGCAACACUUCACGUAGAAGAAGCCAGUAUUCACAUGCUGCCACAAGUUUGCAUACAAGUCAGAGUAGCAACUUGAGUUCUAACUCUGAUGCUCACAAACCUAAGAGGAAGAGAAGACCUAAGAAAAAGAAGCAACAUGCGUGAACGGGAUCUGUACUGGCAUGAUUAGAACCCGCCUUGUCUUACACUCUCUGAAACGGGUAUAUAUAUGUUUUUAUGUGGUCAUGAAGGCAGAUAGAUAGGUUCUGCUGUUUUUGCAUAAUGAUAUAAACCCUAAACCUUGGGCUAAACGUGUUUCUCCCUUGAGAUAAGCAUUUUAUAAUUCUGUUCUGUGUUCA